rnacentral:misc_RNA from 1 species
GAUGAAGAACGUAGCAAAAUGCGAUAAGUAAUGUGAAUUGCAGAAUUCAGUGAAUCAUCGAAUCUUUGAACGCACAUUGCGCCCGCUGGUAUUCCGGCGGGCAUGCCUGUUCGAGCGUCAUUUCAACCCUCAAGCCCCCGGGUUUGGUGUUGGGGAUCGGCUCUGCCCUUCUGGGCGGUGCCGCCCCCGAAAUACAUUGGCGGUCUCGCUGCAGCCUCCAUUGCGUAGUAGCUAACACCUCGCAACUGGAACGCGGCGCGGCCAUGCCGUAAAACCCCAACUUCUGAAUGUUGACGUCGGAUCAGGUAGGAAUACCCGCUGAACUUAAGCAUAUCAAUAAGCGGAGGA